CGGCAGAAUCGUGAAAUAAUUGUUCAGGUUCUGAUAAGAACACCAAACUUGGCACAAUGAUAGUUUGGGACAUACUCUCUAAGCUUACAACAUUGUUUUCGCGGUGAUCGAAAGUAACACUCGCGCAAAUAAAAUAGCGACCAAAAACGUGCGCAAGUACAUACGUGAUGGUAGGUUGGACGGAAUUCUUGUUUAUGGGAAUACACUUCAGAUCUUGGUUGAAUAUUCUGUUUUAACUGCUGUACAACAUGCCUCUG